UCACCCAUGUCUCUUGCGUACUUGUUGUUUCCUGGGCGGGUUCGCCCGCCACCAGGACCAAACCAUAAACCUUUUUUCGUGUGCAAUCAGCGUCAGUAAACAACGUAAUUUAUUACAACUUUCAACAACGGAUCUCUUGGUUCUGGCAUCGAUGAAGAACGCAGCGAAAUGCGAUACGUAGUGUGAAUUGCAGAAUUCAGUGAAUCAUCGAAUCUUUGAACGCACAUUGCGCCCUUUGGUAUUCCAAAGGGCAUGCCUGUUCGAGCGUCAUUUGUACCCUCAAGCUUUGCUUGGUGUUGGGCGUUUGUCUCGCGGCUUCGGCCGGGAGACUCGCCUCAAAACGAUUGGCAGCCGGCCUACUGGUUUCGGAGCGCAGCACAUUUUUGCGCUUUUCAACUGGCAGACGGCACUCCAUCAAGUCAAUUUAUUUUUACUUUGACCUCGGAUCAGUA
rnacentral:rRNA from 1 species